rnacentral:lncRNA from 1 species
UCCUAGGCUGCAGUAUUAUUUAUGUUUAGAUCAUUACUUUUUGAUAUUCUACUGUUGGCUUUUUGUAUUUUUGUAUUUAUUCAUUUGAGUACUUAGAGAGGCAAAAUCUGACUCUAUGUGAGGUCAUGGUGGACGUGGAAAUGGGCAUGGUUGUGGAAGUGGACAUUGCUACAUCAGAUACUCAACCAACAACAAGAAUUCUUAUGGAAAUUUCAGAUGGUCAAGGUGCAUCUGGAAAAGCUCAUACGAGAAAGCCUUCUGAAAGAAGCGGUGGCUAUGGUAAACUUUGUGAUCCUUGUGGAGGCGGUCACUGAGGUGGUUUAAACAAUGGUGAAGUGGGGGAAGGUGAACAAGAAAGGCUACGUCAGGUUUUUGAUCACCGUAGUGCCUUGGGUAGGGGUAUACAUGCUAUGUUUUUCACUAAAUCUCUCGUCUUUGCAGUCCUUAGACAUUUAUAUUCUGCUGUGAACUUAUUCGACUGCAAAAAUGAGAUAAAAUGUGAGAGUUGGCAGAGGUAACUGGGAAGCUUAGACUAAUGAACUGGCUAUCUCCUUGGUGCCUUUGGCAGUAAGGCUUUACAGUAGCAUAUACUUUUUCUCAUGUUUAAUAUUGUGCUCCUUCGUUUCUAGAGUUAUCGAAGAAGUCAUCAAUGAAGGUGGGAACAAUCUGAAUGCUGAGAAGAACUCAGGAGAGGAAGAUGCAACACAUGGGAACAAGGAAACUUCUACCAUUGAAAUUGAAGAAAAGGAACCUGAGCACAUAUAAAUUAAUUCAUGAGUCCAUUUUUGUUAUGGUAGUAGUCCAGUAUUUACAUAACGUCUUGUAAAAUGACUUUAUUCUUCUUUUGCAAGCUAAUUCCAAUUUAUCAUUUAAUAAUAACUUGUUCUCUUUCUUUUAGCUAGAGUAGAUGUCCCACGGGAGAAUAUUUGACAUUAGUGACGAAGUUCUUAUAACAUGUGAAGAUAAUUUUGUAGAUAUUUUCAAAAAGUACCAUUAUCAUCUGAGUUGAGUUCAACAAUGCUAAUUGCUGAACAUCUUCAUUUGUGGCUAUUUUGUCACUAGUCUUACUUUUUUUGAAAGGUAACCACAGGAAGUGUCAAUAGUCUGUCUUACUAGCAACUAAAUAGCACUCUUUUGUCAGAAUUAUUUGGCGACGCCGAUAUUGAACUCUUGUUGUUUCAUAUAAAAACUUUCCUAGCAAUUUGAAUUU